GGAUAGAUGGCUGAGCGGUCGAAAGCGCCGGUCUUGAAAACCGGAGGACGUGAAAGCGUCCCGUGGGUUCGAAUCCCACUCUAUCCG
rnacentral:tRNA from 1 species